rnacentral:rRNA from 1 species
GACGAACGCUGGCGGCGUGCUUAACACAUGCAAGUCGAACGAAGUGGCGAACGGGUGAGUAACGCGUAAUCAACCUGCCCUUACGAGGGGGACAACAGUUGGAAACGACUCCUAAUACCGCAUACUGAAGGAGUGGUAUGCGUCUGAUUAGCUAGCUGGAGGGGUAAAGGCCCACCAAGGCGAUGAUCAGUAGCCGGUCUGAGAGGGUGAACGGGCAAAUUGGGACUGGGGCACGGCCCAGGCCCCUAAGGGAGGCAGCAGGGGGGAAUCAUCCGAAAUUGGCGAAAGGCUGAAGGAGCAACGGCGCGGGAGUGAUGACAGCCUUCGGGUUGGAAAGGUCUGUUAAGCGGGACGCGGUACCGGAAGAAAAAGCCACGGCUAACUACGUGCCAGCAGCCGCGGUAAUAC